UGAGAAACAGUACACAGUGUUCUAUUCGUAGGGGCUGGGAAAGAAAGGAAAGGGGACAAGUUGUUUUUGUUUUUGUUUUUUGUUGUUUUUUUUUUUUUUUUUUCCAGAAGUGCCUAUCCUUCACUCACAGUUGUAAAAGAACAUUCAGUUCAGUCCAGUUACAAGUCUCUACAUACGCAUUCCUGUUUCUGCUUGGGCUACGACUCAGCACAUCUGUCUAAAGACUUUUGAACUUCAAAACAGCAGCUGCUUCUGUCCUCAAGCUGCAGAGCCUCUGGCUUGAACCGGCUUUGCCUCGAAAAUGACCACAGAAGGGUAACUGGGUGAUUUACUUCCUUUCUGGAAUCCUCUGAUGUGACCAGAGGAAGGGAGGCGGAAGCACCUAUUUUAAAGCGAGGCAGAUGUCCACAUUGUUUCAGUUCAAUGACUCUUAACUGGAGUGACUUUGGUCCCAACAGACCUUAACAAUGGCAGGAAACUUUCUGGUUGUCACAACUUGACACAGUGAUCACUAGAAAACAGUGGCAGAGACGUCACUAAACAUACGAUGCCCAGCAAAGAACUAUGUCGCUCAAAGUGUCAACCGCACUGACUGCUGCUGCUAGAAAGGACUUCAGCUAAUUAUCUCCACCUUCUAGAGAGGAAACUGAGGCUCAGAGUGGUUGUUUCCCAUAAGUAAAUAUCAGGGACGUGGUGCUGACCAAACUUCAACCACCACCUCCUGCUUAAACCACGACCCUUAACUAGUACCUGAACUAGUUCCUUAAACCUAUCACUUUCUUGA